rnacentral:lncRNA from 1 species
GAGGCCUGGGGAAGGGAGGCUCAGGGAAGGAUUUGUAGCCAGACUCUGUCCCUGGACCAGUGACGCCCAUUGCUCUGUGUUCAGAGUGGACUCUGCAUCCAGCACCUGACCUGCAGCCACCUCUGCAGACAGCCCUGUGUCCCCAGAGGGUCCCCUCCUCCCUCUGUCCCUGUGGUGGCUCCCCACGGUGGCAUUUGGGGCACGCCGUCCCACCUUUCUGAGAGUCCCCGGGGACCAAGAUCCAGCGUCCUCCUCAUCCGUCUCCCUGCGUCCCCCUUGUCCCCAACGCCACCUCCCUGGGUCCCCUCCACUCGCCCCCCAUCAGCCUUCUUUGCUGCUUUGCAGACUCCCCGGCCGCCCUCAGGCCUGCGCCCUCUCCGGCCCCAGUCACCGCCCCUACAAGCCGCUCCCGGCCACCGCGGCUCCCCCCGCGGGUCUCCGCGGCCCCCGCUGCCCAGCGACCGGCUCUCUGGUGGGAGGAAGGAGCCCAUUCUCGUGGGCUGUGGCUUUCCCCGGGUGAGCGUCCGGCCACCAGCAUGGGCGCCGGGCCAGCUGGGACGGGGCCUGAGCUUGCUGGCCACACCGAGAGCUGAUGAGGCGGCCAGUCUCAGGCCACGGCCAGGGCCAGCACCUCUGCCUGGAGGACCGGGGUGAGUCCCUCCCCUCCGAGGCCAAGCAGAGCUAGAGCCCCCAGCCACAGGAAAGCAGCGUCCAGCCUGGCCCCUCGUGCUGCCUCGACGACGCUGGUGGCCCGUGGGGUCAGGAAGCCGCGUGGAAUGCUGCCCAGGGGGCCACCGUCACAGCCAGAAAGGAACCGAGCCUCAGUCCACCGACCCCAAGGAACCGAGUCCAGCCUCCGAUGACCCCACAGAGGACCUGAGCAGAGGGCCCAGCUCAGCAGGAUGCCCGACCCCAGAGACCGUGCAUCGAGGGGAGUGUCACCUGUGCUUUCCCCGACUCCUGGGGGGCGACCGCCUGCUCUCCUUUCCUGUCGUUCAUUCAGCCCUGGGGCGACCCCGGGGGGCUCUGCACCCGAGACACACCCCCUUCCAUUUUCAUUUUUUGAGACAGGGUCUUGCUAAGUUGCUGAGGCUGGCCUCUCAAACUUCCCAUCCUCCUGCCUCAGCCUCCUGAGUCACUGGGAUGACCGGCGU